AUAUACUACUAAGUGGGGGAGAGGUGGAGGAGAUUGUAUUGUUUACAUUUAUUUCGUAGCUGAUAGCCAAGUGUCCUAGGGAGUUGCAAUUUGUUUCUCAUAUUCGUUAUUCGUUCACAAACUAUCUAUUUCUAUAGAUUUCUGCUCCAGUUUGUAAUUUCCGUUUACUGCAGCACGUACAUCUACGACAAAAUUCCCAGCAAAAUGAUAUAUAAAAAAUAAAAUGUACAAAGGAACACCUUCUUGCAAAUGUACUUUCUAAUGAGUCUGUUGUUAGAAAUUGGAGAGUGAAGAAAGAGAUGCUUCUCGAUGUCUGAUAGUAUUUUAUUCUACAACGAUGAUAGAGUCCUAAGAUACAAAUAUAUAA